rnacentral:tRNA from 1 species
GUAAACUGGUCGUCAGGUUUCCUGGCUCUCACCCAGGCGGCCCGGGUUCGAUUCCCGGC